rnacentral:lncRNA from 1 species
UAAGUAACCGGGCCUCUUUGCCUACGCAAGCACUGAGUUUCACGUCAAAAGNUAUGAAGGGCAAAGAAGCUUUAUUAUAAAUCUAAUUUUAACUCAUAGCUUGUCUGAUUCGAGCAAGUAAGAUCGAGGGAUAUUUUAUAUCUAAUACCCUAAAGCCAUCUAGUUUGGGAGUCAUUAGCUAAAAACUUACUACAUGGGUCAAACAUAAAACUUAAGGGAUUAAGACACUC